GAUAAACGCUGGCGGCGCACAUAAGACAUGCAAGUUGAACGGACUUAAUCGAAAUAUUUAUAUUUUGAAGCGGUUAGUGGCGGACUGGUGAGUAACGCGUAAGGAACCUGCCUAUUAGAGGGGAAUAACAGUGAGAAAUCAUUGCUAAUACCGCAUAUGCCAUAGAUAUCACAUGAUAACAGUGGGAAAGGAGCAAUCCGCUAAUAGAUGGCCUUGCGUCUGAUUAGAUAGUUGGUGGGGUAACGGCCUAACAAGUCGACGAUCAGUAGCCGGACUGAGAGGUUGGACGGCCACAUUGGGACUGAGGUACGGCCCAGACUCCUACGGGAGGCAGCAGUCGGGAAUAUUGCGCAAUGGAGGAAACUCUGACGCAGUGACGCCGCGUAUAGGAAGAAGGUUUUCGGAUUGUAAACUAUUGUCGUUAGGGAAGAGAAAGGACAGUACCUAAGGAGGAAGCUCCGGCUAACUACGUG
rnacentral:rRNA from 1 species